rnacentral:lncRNA from 1 species
AUGCUGCUCUCCUGGGUCAGGGCGAGAGAGCACACACACCACAAGGGUUUCCACAAGGAGGAAGGGCCACGCUGGCGCCAGGGGACCAGGGCCCCUCCACCUGGAGACCCGCACUGCAUCGGGCUGCCACGGCUCCCCAGCCUCCCCUCUCUCUGGGUGUCUGCAGCCACACGGACCCUGCCUGGGGGACGGGCGCGGGGGGUGGUGCAGGCCCGGCCUGCACAGAGGCGUGCCAGGGGCACAGAGAGAGGCCCCGGCAUUCUUCUCCCACGUCCCAGGGCCCGAAAGAUGGAUCCCCAAGGCCGGCUCCCCGCCCCCCAACACGGCAACAAGGUGCCCCACGGAGGCACAUUCAGGCCCACUGGGGCAACCUGCGCCACACCCCCGACACGACCGGGAAACCCAAACCCCUGGCACCUCCUCUGCCUCAGGACUUCCGCCAGGACUCACCGCCCCUGCGGAAACCCUCUCUCUUCCUUUGUUCUCUCCCUCUCUCUCUCUCCCUCUCGGUCCCACCCGCUGUCACCCUUUCCCUGGCGAGCGCGCGCGCACCGAAGCUUUCUCUCCUUUGCUGGACCCAUCCGACGCACGAUCAGCCACUUGCCCUCACAAGAGUCUGUCCGUGCCAGCCGGCUCUCCAGGAACCCCAGCACGGGAGCACUGAUGCCACCCUGCCCUGACGAAGGGUGACGGCCACCAACUCCCCUUGACCUCUCCAUGAUGCGGAAUCCCCUCAGCGCCCGUAAGACCCCCCCGGAGCCGUUCCCGUGCCCAGCAGCAGGCACGAACCCCCUGACGAGACGUGGUCGCUACCCGGCGGUUCCCGCCCGCACCAAGCCCCUCCCAGUCCCGACCACACACCAACCGGGACACCCAAGUCGGCCGGGAGACACGGCUCAAAUCCCCACAGGGCGUGGGACAUUCCCCCAAACAGCCGGGACUCCUGAACGGGCCAGGCCUUCCAGGGCCUCAAGCCCCGGGCCUUCCUGGCAAGCACGCGGCCGCCGGGCCUCAUCAAAGCCCUCCGUCACCGGCGGGGCCAGGACACCGCCACCGCUGCCCAAGCCCAGGCCUCCCGUCUCCGCUCGCCAUCAAGCCGCCCGCCGCAGGACCCGGACACCCGCCCCGAGCAGCCUCCCAGGCACUGCCAGCUGAGAGACGUCCCUGGCCGCCGACCUCCCCGCUCUGCCCAGGCCCCCGCGCGGCGACCUGGGCGAAGCGCUCCACGCGGCGCGGGUGGCUCGCUCUGCCGGGCAGACCACCCCCUCCAGGGCGUCCAAGGGCUCGGCAUCGCACCCUCCAGGGAGAGGGAGACCGUGCACCGGGAAGGACUCCGAC